GCCUACGGUCGGCGGGUUCCAGGUGCGCGUCUGGCCGGCGCGGCGCUCGGCCCACGGGCGCCAGGUGGUGGUGAGGCCACCGGUGCGCAC
rnacentral:tRNA from 1 species